GUUAAUUGGUUGCAUCUUGUGCGUUUCACGUAAGAGGGAACCGGACAGUACGUUGGUAUCCUCCACUGUUUGGCAGUGGCAGCGUCUCCCAAACGCGGUUCGUAGUUGUGUUCACAGAAACCAGAACCUGAGUGUAAUCUUCUGUUGAGCUCUGUUGAGACGUAUUUGUCAUCCCUGAAAGACUUUUUGAAGUAAAGACGAGCAUCUCAUCUGGACCUGAUGUCUAUCAUGGAUAUUUAACUGCAGUUCUGUGAGUAUCCCAACUUAACCAUGAAGAUGAACUGCGAACUGUAAGUCAUUAGUUUCUCAUUACUCAUGGGCACAUCUAUGUAUUUUGGCUUCCUGGUGAGUUAACCCGUUAGCUGAAGGUGGAUCUGAGUAAGAAUGUUUUAUUGGUUCAUGGGUUACUUAGGCGUUUGGUUUAUGUUGGUUUUAAUGGUUUGUUAAAAUGGUUACAGGUUUUAAGUUAUUGUUGUAAGAUGGAGUAAUGGGUUCGGUUCUGAUGUCUUCACUCUUCUUUCAGGCCACGUUUAUGCGUAGCAGGGUAUUUAUAGAAACAAAUAUUUCCCCCCCUCCGUUUUCAAAAAUAACAUUGCACACAACAUCGUUUUCGAAAAAGUUUUUGUUUACAUCAAAAUGCAUAAAUACGCCGUAGAGCGCCAUUAUAACUAUGUCAAACCUAUGGGCGGCAGUGUAGGGAGAAGGAUAAAGCCAUGCAAGCCAAUCAGAAUCCUCAGAAUCAACAACAACGAAUAACACAAGCGUCUUCCUGUAACAAACAAACUGUAAACAUAGGGCGCUCAUAUGAAGUUAAGCAUUUCCUGGCGCAUAAUGUGACGCUUCAGAACCUAAAACCACGUUUCUACCCGUUGACACGACGAUGCAUAACCAGCGUUUUCAGAAAUCUCCACUUUGGCCGGAGUUUUUAGAAAUUAUCGUUUUCUGUGACAAAAACUGCGUUUUCGUGUAAAUAAGAGGCCGAACCGCGUGAAAAUAUCUGCAUUUUCCAUUCGUGUAAACGGGGCCUCUUUCUACUCUCCUGAGCUCUGCAUCUUCAUCACAUGAGUGUUGCUUUAUUGAUGAGGGUGUGGUCUGAGUGAGCGGAGGUGCAUACUGGGAUACAGAGCUGUCUGAAGUCUAUAGGUCUGUAGAUGCGCCCCCUCAGGGGAAACCGAGUGUUUGAGAAACCGUCGUGACGUCAGUUACAUGGACUGGAAUGUUCUUUAAGAUGGAGACGGGGAUUCAGAAGGAGAAACACCAGGGGGAGAUGAGGGGGCUCCUCAUCUCAACGACUAAAACACAACUUCAGUCUGACACAGAGAACCAUGGAACACAUUCAACAGUCCCCUCCAGGCAUCGUGACUCCUCAGGAACACUUUCAUUUCCAAGAAGGUCUUAUUUGGGGCCAUUCCAAGAUGGAUCCUGCUCCUCAAGAGCCACCUCCCUCCACUGGGUGGUCUUCUGAACAGAUGACCUCCUUCCUGUCCUUAGGCUGACUAAAGCUGCACCGUUUGCAUCUGUGAAGGCCCCUCAUUCAGCAAACCACUGGACUACAAAGACAUGACUUCAGGGACGUUGAAUCAACCUGGGAGACAUUGGAGACACAAAGCAAGAUCCAUCACGAAUGUGGGACGCCACUGAAAAAUGUUGUACACAAUUUAAGUCUCUGGAGACCAUGAUUGUUCUGUCCUGGGUGUCCUGGCAGGAGAGCUAGGGUUGGAUGAUGGAAUGUUAAUUGGCAUGAAACCAAACGUCCCACACGUUUGGUUCCAUCUGGCAGGGGCUUCUACGUGUGUUUGGUUCCAUCUGGCAUGGGGUUCAAAGUGCGUGUCCUGGGUUCUACGUGUUUGCGUCCUGCUUGCUUUGACAGCGAUAACGUUCAUACUGGGGUCUGUGUGGUUGGCUUGGGAUAUUGGAAUGGUCAACGUACUGGGAAGGAUGGAGAGUAUCCAAAUCAAUUGUAAAUGGAUGCAAGCGGCAUGUUCAGAUCAGUUACUUCAAACUAGGACCACCAAUCAGGAUCAACGGAGGAUGGACACCUAAAGGCAUUCCACAAGGAGUCUGAAGAUGGAAAGGGACAUCAAUGGAUAUUCAAGAUGACCUUCAGACCUGCAGUGAGGUGGCUCUUCCUACCUGGCUGGAUUGAUGGAGAGCCCUGUGGAUCUUGUAUUGCUCUCAGUUGCAAGUCUUCUCAGGCUGAACUUUAUUUGUUUCGUACAGGACUAGCUGGACAAUUGGUUCCCUCAAAUCAGAACCAAUCUGGGAACUCUUGUGCUCUUCAAGCUGAAGUUGUGGCCUUCAGCUGAGGACGUAAGGAAACCUUCACUGGGGCUUCAAGGUGUGUAGAGGAACGUUUCAAAGUGUUCCAUGGUACUCUGAUGAAGACUGUUGUUGUGUUCCACUGGCUGAGAGGAAGAACCUUCACAUCUUCCUCUUGGCCUUUCUCCUCUGGGAAUCCUGGCGCCAUCUUGAAGGAUAUUCCAGCUCAUGUCACUGAUGUCACGACAGAUUCUUAAACACCUGGUUUCUCCUGAUGGGCGUGUCUAUAGAACUGAAGACUUCAGACGGCACUGUAUCCCAACAUGCAUCUCUUCUCACUCAGACCACACCCUCAUAAGUAGGAACCGUUGGCAACGGAAACUGUUUUUCGGUCCGUUUCCAUUGGGAAUUGUUGCCCCUUAUCUUAAACAACUAAGUUUGAUAAUAGUACAAACUGACACGUACAUCGUACAAUAUGUUGAUCAUUUCCGAUGGUUGCGCCGUACUUUUAACCACGUUGACGGGACUCUCGCUGCGUACAAAAGAGCGUUCUACUUGCGUUGCGGGCACAUUUCUGACCAUCAGUGAAGGCUGAAAAUCAUUUCAACGUGGAAGACAAUUUGGCAUUUCUUCAAGGGAUCCCAGCACCUGAAUAUGGCUGAGUAUAUUUGAUUUAAUAUCGAUACUGCUUAGGGUUCUUUGGUACUUCAGCUUUUGUACGUUCUAAAUAUCUGGUGUCAUUAAUUGCCACAGAGGUUAAACCCUACCAAAUGGAAUAACGUUAAACAACGACUUUGGUGCUGAGUUACCAGCUAGAUAAUAUCAAAGCUAAAAUAAUUGCAGACUUUCCCACAUGUUACAGUAGAAGUAACUCGAACUGUACAAGGUUAAAAAGGUAACAUGUCGUUUGUCCCAAGGUGUCUGCCUCCUCACCAUGAGCCAGACCUCCACCUCCUCACUCAGAGCCAGACCUCCACCUCCUGUCUGAAGUCCUCCAGAACAGCUGAACGGCGAGGCUGAGAGGCUUGGGACCGGGGGCUUGUGGUGCCAGGAUUGACCGGCGACUGAGACUGGAGACCAGGGGCCUGCAGCACCGGACCAGAGGGAAUCCAUGGCUGAAGGAGCUGAUGGAGGAGGCCGUGCUGAAGACCCUGCCUGGUGGAGGAGCUGAUGGUGGCCCUGCCUGGUGCAGGAUGUCUGUCCUGGGACCAGGACUCUGUCUGAGGAGAGCUGCUGGAGGAGCUGAGACGCUGGAGGACGACUAGGAAUCGAUCAACAAGGACUCCUCAACGUGUUUCUAGAGUGGAGGCGAGCUGGUAGGGGAGCCGUGAAUCUGGAGGAUGACCAUCACUCUACCAACAAGGAUUGUAUAUUUGUUUUAACCUAACAAAGUUGAAAUAAAGGGCUUAAAAAUAAGAACAACUACAUGUUUGUUACCAGACGUUGGGGCAAGACUUGCACUGGUUGUUCCAGACCAGGACUCUGGCUGAGGAGAGCUGAUGGAGGAGCCAAGACUCUGGAGGACGACAUCACUCUACCAACAAGGAUCCUCAACAGGAAUCUGGAGGACUGACGGAGAAGCUGUACCUCUGGAAGGCAAAUCCUGAGGACAACCAGGACUCUACCAUCAAGGUUUCCUCGGGCAGACGCACCUGAGCUAAACCUCACCUGAUCCUGUUUGGUCGGGGGCAGACACACCUGAGCUGAACCCCACCUGAUCCUGAUACCCUGCUGGUCCCGUCUCAGUUCAUCUGAGCCUCGUCCUCCAGAAGACCUGCUGAGCUCAGAAGACCUGCUGAGGCUGAUAGAUCAAUGCCUUCCAGUGGGAGUGACCUUCUUGACCGCACAUGUACCCGUGUGCUUCCACACGCCUUUCCCUCACGUCCAUCACUAACCUCACUACUUCCCUACUCUCUACUCCUUCCCCUUCUUCUUCCUUCUCCAUGGUUCGAACCUUUACUCUGAAGGAGUGCCUUCUUGAACCUUUACACUGAAGGAGUGUCUUCCUGCCCUCAGAGGGUUCAGCGUUAGGGUUUAGAGUCAGGGUUUAGAGUCAGGGACAGAGCUGGUCAGGGAGGAAUGGUUUUACACAAACCUCUUUACUUGCUUUCUGAAUGGUGGUGACAUUAUGAAAUGUUUCAUUUGGGAAAAUAUUUUCCUCUGCUUUCCUUUACAAAAAUAUGUAUCAAACUUCUGUAAAGUGUUUUAGUUUAUACAUUAAAAAUCCUACAUUGGCUUCUGC